rnacentral:rRNA from 1 species
AGUGAACGCUGGCGGCGUGCCUAAUACAUGCAAGUCGAACGGAGUGGCGCACGGGUGAGUAAUGUAUAGCUAAUCUGCCCUACACUAGAGGACAACAGCUGGAAACGACUGCUAAUACUCUAUAGUGUAGGAUGAGGCUAUAUUGUAUCAGCUAGUUGGUGAGGGAAUGGCUCACCAAGGCUAUGACGAAUAACUGGUCUGAGAGGAUGAUAACUCGCACUGUAAGUGAGGCACGGUUGAGACACCUUCGGGAUGGAGCAGUAGGGAAUAUUGCUCAAUGGGGGAAACUCUGGAGCAGCAACGCCGCGUGGAGGAUGACACUUGUCGGAGCGUAAACUCCUUUUGUUAGGGAAGCGGUACCUAACGAAUAAGCACCGGCUAACUCCGUGCCAGCAGCCGCGGUAAUUC